AGCUCCCUGGAGUGUGCGCCAGUUGGUUGAUGUCCCUGAGCCGAUACGCACAACCCCGGGGGUUGUCAGUUGAGGCCGGUGUGCAUGUCCGCUUGACGGAAAGCCUUAAGGUUUCCUGCAACCUCCACCUUGAACUUUCGGGUUCAAGGGCUAAACCGACAGCGGCAUGCUGGGGAGUCA
rnacentral:other from 15 species